GCUGGCGUAGCUCAACUGGUAGAGCAGUUGAUUUGUAAUCAACCGGUUGCGGGUUCAAGUCCUGUCGCCAGCU
rnacentral:tRNA from 2 species